rnacentral:snRNA from 1 species
AUACUCUGGUUUCUCUUCAGAUCGUAUAAAUCUUUCGCCUUUUACUAAAGAUUUCCGUGGAGAGGAACAAGCACGAGUGUCGUNNN